CAGAGGUGCAAGCGUUAAUCGGGAAUUACUGGGCGUAAAGGGAGCGUAGGUGGCUCGAUAAGUCAGAUGUGAAAUCCCCGGGCUCAACCUGGGAACUGCAUCUGAUACUGUUGAGCUAGAGUAUGUGAGAGGAAGGUAGAAUUCCAGGUGUAGCGGUGAAAUGCGUAGAGAUCUGGAGGAAUACCGAUGGCGAAGGCAGCCUUCUGGCAUAAUACUGACACUGAGGCUCGAAAGCGUGGUAGCAAACAGGAUU
rnacentral:rRNA from 1 species